AGUGCAUUUCCAGGUCUCUAUCAGCAGAAUUGGAAUUACUUCAUCAUUUUCAGCAUUUCUUUUUCCUUUCCAGCAUUUAUUGCAGAAAAAAUAUGAGGCUUGCUGGUAGUAUUCCCAGGUGACAAAUGUGCACCCAACACCCUACAGAAAAGAAGAACCAUAAAAUAAUUAAUUAUUCCAUUGUAACUCCUGCCUGGAAAACAUCUGAAAGAAGUCACUAGAUUCAGCCCACAUUCAAGAUGAGAAAUACCAGAAGGCAGAGAACACUGAGGCUGUUUUAGAGGCUGUCAACCCCAGGGAGACAGACAGCAAAUAAGUAAGCAAAUAAAUAAAAAUGGAAGGUGAUAAUAAGUGCAAUGAAAAGAAAUGAAGCAGAGUAAAGAAUCAAGAGUAGCAGUUGAGGGGCAAACAUGGAGGAACAGAGUUUGGAGCAAUACCCUGACUUACAUUCAGUACUGUUAAUGGCUCCAGCAUCUUGAAACAAACCAAUUUUGGAUUUUCAGCCGCUGUCCAAGAUGACGUGAACUCCAGGCUAUUGACUUUCCUCUACCUUCAAUGGAAAUUGUCAUGGAGAAUUAAGUUUUUGACAAAUCUACAGCCUAUGUGCAGGGCUUCUUCCUGGGUGUAACAAUAAGGAAUUUGGAAACUGUCUCUAGUUUUGGCCUGGAGUCACACUGCAGCUUGAGACCCUGUCAUUUCCAUCAAGCUUGAAAAUAUACAUCUUAAUAAACUGCAAUACUUCUUAAACCU
rnacentral:lncRNA from 1 species